GGACGGCUCAUACCCAAUGCUGAAUUUCUAAUCAUCCGUGACUUCAAAAAGUUACGGUCAAUCCCACCCACGCUGGUGGCGCCACCCACUUCAUCACGCCCCUUCUCUUUCUUUUAUUCUCUCUGCGCUAUUCUCGCGACUCCUGGGAUCCGACUUUUCCAAGGUGAGCGGCGGCGGCCAAGCGGCGCGGCGGUGGACUUCGCGAGCAGCGGCGGUGGACUUCGCGAGCAGCGGCGGUGGACUUCGCGAGCAGCGGCGGUGGAGUGGACGGUAGGGAGGGGCGAGCGGCGCGGCGACGAGCUCCACGAGCAGAGCGGUGGAGCAGACGGAGGGGAGCGGUGCAGCGGGAAGGCGCGGCGGCGGGCUCCGUGCCCACAGAGGAGCGGCGCGGUGGGGAGGUGCGCCGCCGGCGGAGAUGCUCCGCGGCACGGGCCUGUGGCGGGGGAGGCCCGGUGCGGCGGCGCACUGUCCAGGAUAUAUUGCCUUGAUUGAAUCGGCAGCGGUUCCACGCAUCAUCAUGGUCUGCGCCGGCGAUCCCAUCAGGCAGCCCACCAUCAGCACGUCGAUCCCUCCGGCGGACCCCCGACUGUGUUGUCGAUCCGUUCGGCAGGCGCCGUCCAUACCUGCUUCGAUCGAUCUUGACCCGUCGCCACUACUCGUGAGUAUGAGUUCUGGUUCAAUGAUAAGUCAGAACAUUACUCUACGAUACACCAUAGGAGCAGCUUGAAAUGCGAGUGCGAGACUAGUACUGAGAAGAAGUAUGUAGACAUAGCAAAAAUAUGCAAGCAUAUGUGUUCAGUUCAGGUAUGUACGCACCGAGGAUGUCUCUGAUGACGGCUAUGUCGUUGCCGGGCGGCGGCGGUGGAGGCAGUGGACGGCAGCAUUGCAGAAGGCACCUGCCGGACAGGAUCAACAACGUAGUCGGCGGGCUACCGGAGGGAUCGACGUGCUGAUGGCGGGCUGCCAGACGGGAUCGCCGGGGCACGACGAGCUGCUGUGACGAUGCCUGGGCAAUCGAAGGCGCGUGGAACUGUUGUGGCACCCGAUUCAAUCUGCUAUUUAUUUGCCUAAUCAAGUUAAUCAGUAUAUCCUAGUGGCAAAUUAGUCACUUCAUUUAGGCUUUUAAUGGUGAAAGGAAGGCGAAAUCAUUGAAACAAUGAAAAUGUCAAGGAAAUCAAAGCGUCCAUAAAGAGAGUGUCAAUUUUGCGAAGUCAA